AUUGAACGCUGGCGGCAGGCCUAACACAUGCAAGUCGAGCGGAGCGGCGGACGGGUGAGUAAUGCCAAGGAAUCUGCAUGGUAGUGGGGGAUAACGUCCGGAAACGGGCGCUAAUACCGCAUCCUAUCAGAUGAGACUAGGUCGGAGUAGCUCGUUGGUGGGGUAAAGGCCUACCAAGGCGACGACCCGUAACUGGUCUGAGUGGAUGAUCAGGCACACUGGAACUGAGACACGGUCCAGACUCCUCCGUGAGGCAGCAGUGGGGAAUAUUGGACAAUGGGCGAAAGCCUGAUCCAGCCAUGCCGCGUGUGUGAAGAAGGUCUUCGGAUUGUAAUGCACGUUAAGUUGGGAGGCGUUACCAACAGAAUAAGCACCGGCUAACUUCGUGCCAGCAGCCGCGGUAAUUC
rnacentral:rRNA from 1 species